rnacentral:tRNA from 3 species
UAUAAUUUAGUAUAAAGUACAUGAAUUUUUGAAAUUCAAGGAAGCAAUUCAAUUUGCUAUUUAUAA